rnacentral:rRNA from 1 species
UACGUAGGGUGCAAGCGUUAAUCGGAAUUACUGGGCGUAAAGCGUGCGCAGGCGGCUUUGCAAGACAGAUGUGGAAUCCCCGGGCUUAACCUGGGAACUGCAUUUGUGACUGCAUGGCUAGAGUGCGGCAGAGGGGGAUGGAAUUCCGCGUGUAGCAGUGAAAUGCGUAGAUAUGCGGAGGAACACCAAUGGCGAAGGCAGCUCGCUGGGACGUGACUGACGCUGAGACGCGAAAGCGUGGGGAGCAAACAGG